rnacentral:rRNA from 1 species
UACGUAGGUGGCGAGCGUUGUCCGGAUUUACUGGGCGUAAAGAGCGCGCAGGCGGUCGUACAAGUCGCGUGUGAAAGCCCCCGGCUCAACUGGGGAGGGUCACGCGAUACUGUUCGACUCGAAGGCAGGAGAGGGAAGUGGAAUUCCCGGUGUAGUGGUGAAAUGCGUAGAUAUCGGGAGGAACACCAGUGGCGAAGGCGACUUCCUGGCCUGUUCUUGACGCUGAGGCGCGAAAGCUAGGGUAACAAACGGG